rnacentral:tRNA from 2 species
GGGGAUGUAGCUUAAUGGUAAAGCCUCAGUUUUCCAAACUGAUGACGCGGGUUCGAUUCCCGUCAUCCCCUCCA